AAUCUUGAUGAGAUCUUUUUUCCACUAACCACCUAUUUUAUUAACGCAAAAACUUGCGUGCGGCCCACCGCGUAGUAUGCGGUGGGGUCGGUUAACCAAGCAAUAUGUAAAUCUCUUCACAAUUGAGAGCAUAAAUGUUGCGGUGCAAUGGUUCACAUCUCACGCCAUUAUCCCUAAGAUCAGGGGUUCAAAACCCAUUUGCACCAUUUCCCCCCCUUUUUCUGUUAGUAUAUUUUUUUGUUUUCUUUUUCUGUUUUUUUUAAAGAUGCGAUUUUUUUUUUUAUGUUUUUGGUUCAUUUCUUUUUAUGUUUUAUUUAUGUUUCUAUUUCGUUUUUUUUUUGUUUUGUUUUUACUGCUUCAAUUUUUU
rnacentral:lncRNA from 1 species